UACAGAGGGUGCAAGCGUUGUUCGGAAUUAUUGGGCGUAAAGGGCGCGUAGGCGGCAAUUCAAGUCAUCUGUGAAAUCUCCGGGCUUAACUCGGAACGGUCAGAUGAUACUGCUUUGCUAGAGUACAGAAGGGGCAAUCGGAAUUCUUGGUGUAGCGGUGAAAUGCGUAGAUAUCAAGAGGAACACCUGAGGUGAAGACGGGUUGCUGGGCUGAUACUGACGCUGAGGCGCGAAAGCUAGGGUAGCAAACGGG
rnacentral:rRNA from 1 species